rnacentral:RNase_P_RNA from 1 species
CGGACAGGCCGGGUGAUCGCUGGGCUGGCCUUCGUAAGAAGACCGGCCGGGAGGAAAGUCCGGACACCGUAGUUCUGGUCGGGCACGUCGGGGACUAAAGUCCUCGGCGCAAACCGCCUCGGACUAAAGGGCAACGCGCCUGGUAACGCCAGGGGACCGAGUCUCUUCACGGUAAGCGCAAGCAAACCGCGCGGGUUCGGUCACGGAAAGUGCCACAGAAAAUAAACCGCCGGUGCAAUUCGCCUCGGUGACCGGCUGGAGGAAAACCUUCAGCGGGUCUGAUGAUGGCCUACGCAAGUGGGCUGAAACAGGCGAGAGCGCAAGGUAAGGGUGAAACGGUGGGGUAAGAGCCCACCGCGUCCCGAGCAAUCGGGACGGCACGGCAAACCCCGCGUGGUGCAAGGCCAAAUAGGAGGGGAGAGCUGGCCCAGCUCGUUAUGACCCUCGGGUAGGCUGCUGGAGUCCCGGUGCGAACCUGGACCUAGAGGAAUGAUCACUGCGGUGCGUGGUUGCCAUUAUCCACGAGCCGAACAGAAUCCGGCUUACAGGCCUGUCCGCCAU